rnacentral:rRNA from 1 species
CCUACGGGUGGCAGCAGUGAGGAAUAUUGGUCAAUGGCCGUAAGGCUGAACCAGCCAAGUCGCGUGAAGGAAGAAGGAUCUAUGGUUUGUAAACUUCUUUUAUAGGGGAAUAAAGGUAUCCACGCGUGGAUAUUUGCAUGUACCCUAUGAAUAAGCAUCGGCUAACUCCGUGCCAGCAGCCGCGGUAAUACGGAGGAUGCGAGCGUUAUCCGGAUUUAUGGGGUUGAAAGGGUGCGGAGGUUGUCUUUUAAGUCAGCGGUCAAAGCGUGGGGCUCACCCCCAUCCCGCCGUUGAAACUGGGGAUCUAGAGUGUGCGAGAGGUAUGCGGAAUGCGUGGUGUAGCGGUGAAAUGCAUAGAUAUCACGCAGAACCCCGAUUGCGAAGGCAGCAUACCGGUGCACAACUGACGCUGAGGCACGAAAGCGUGGGUAUCGAACAGGAUUAGAUACCCGUGUAGUC